GGGCAGAGGCAGAGACGGAGGAGGAUUACAGGCCUACAGACUGUUGGAUGCAGGCGUAAAUCUAGUGCUUGACCUAUCGCCAGGAGAACAAGCCAGGUAAUAAACCCUGUUACCCCAAGAAUGUUCCAUUGUCAUUCCUCAGUCCCACUGAGUCCACAGUGAACUUGUCCAGGCUGAAACCCACUGGCAAGACAACCAUCUUCAGUCCCUGCCACUGAGAAGCCCCAUGAAGUGAGGCACGAGUGACCGGUCAGAGGAUCAUGUGCCAUCCUCCCGUCAGAGGUCAGCUCUUCCCCUCGGGCUCUGGGUCUUACCCUCUCAGACUUCCAAGCUCCUUCCUCUGCACUCUCCUCUUCUCUCUGCUGCAUCCAUUUCUCCCUCUCAACCCAAUUAUUCCCAUUAGCAUACAAACAUCUCCCAUUUUAACAAACCGCUCCCUGACCCCACAUCCCCCUUUAGUUACCAUUCAGUCCUCCUCCUUUGUGUGUGGACACUGUCUUCUUCGUUUUUCUCACAACAGUUUCGAUCCGAGUUUCAUCUCUUUCACAGCAUGGAAGUUCAUCAACUCACCAGCGGCCGCACCUUCCAAGACACAGUGGCCCCUUUGCUGUCUUCAUCCUGCCCUCUUCGCAGCCUUCCACAUGGCUGGCUCCUUGUGGGGACCCUGCUCAUCCCCCGUCCCCAGGGCUGUUGCUUCUCCGUCUCAUUGAUUGCUCAAAUAAGUGAAAUCCUAGGGUAUUUGUCUUUCUCUAUCUGACUUGUUUCCCUGAGCGCAAUACCCUCCAGGUCCAUCCAUGUCGUCGCAAAUGGUGAGAUUCCAUUCCUUUUAUGGCUGAGUAAUACUCCAUUGUGUAUAUGUACCAUGUCCUCUUUAUCCAUUCAUCUAUCAAUGGACACUUAGGUUGCUUCUGUAUCUUGGCUGUUGUAAAUAAUGCUGUACUAAACAUAGAUGUGCACAUACCUUUUCAAAUUAGCUAUUUUGUUUUCUUAGGGCAAAUUUCCAGAAGUGGAAUUCCUGGGUCAUGUGGUAUUUCUAGUUUUAAUUUUUUGAGGAACUUGCAUACUGUUAUAUUCGCACCGGCAGGGCAUAAAGCUUCCCUUUCCUCCACAUCCUCACCAACGCUUGCUAUUUCUUGUCUUGUUGAUGGCGGCCAUCCUAACUGGUGUGACGUGGCAUCUCAUUGUGGUUUUGAUUUGCAUUUCCCUGAUGAUUGGUGAUGUGGAGCAUGUUUUCAUGUCUGUUGGCCGUCUGUGUGUCUUCUAUGGCAAGUGUUUAUUCAGGCCGUCUGUAGCAGGCGACUCAAACUUAACAUGCUCUUAUCAGGAGGCUUGCCCUCAUACAUUCAUGCCUUUCUCCUGCCCUGGGCAUGUAGGAUAGUGCUUGCUGCUGUAACAAAUAGAUCCAAAAUCCACAGUGGCCACUGUGAGAGCCAGGAUCCUGUGGGAAAUAGGGUCUUUACAGAGGUAAUCAAAUCAGAUGAGGUCUUUAGGGUUGGUCCUAAUCCAGUAUAACUGGUGUCCUCAUAAAACGGGAAAUUUGGUACAGAGAUGUGUCCCCAGGGAAGUUACGUGAAGAUGAAGAGAGAGAUCAAGAUGAUGCAUUUACAAGCCAAGGAAUGUCAGAGAUUGACUGCAGACCACCAGGGAAGACAUGGAACAGAUUCUUCCUCACAGCCUCAGAAGAACCAGCGCUGCAGACACCCUGACCUCAGACUCCCAGCCUCCAGACCUGUGGGAGAAUACAUGUCUGUCGUUCAAGCCGCCUAGUUGAUGGUACUUUGUUAUGGAAGCCCUAGCGGAUAGAUCCACAGCCACGCAGGCCUCUGGGGCCCCCCCUGUGUGACUCCCUCCUCCCUGGCCACCAGCCCCACCAGCCCCAUUUGCUUUAGCGACUCCAAACUCUGACCUUCGUUUUCUCAGCCCAGCAGAACUGCUGGGCUCUUCUGGGGUGCCACCUUCCUGUGCGGUCAUCAGGAAAUUGUCCCCAGGCAGAGAGCUGGUGAAUGCCGGGUUCACGUCAUGUGUCCUGCCUCUCUGAGGACCGCAGUCGUGUGCUGACGAUUGUCCAGUGCCUGAAAACAGCUGUGUCACGCUUCCAGUCCAGUUUUGUAGCUGUUGAUGGCAGAAAGGCGAUUCCAGUAUCUGUUACUCCAUCAUGGCCAGAAGUGAUCUAAAUUCAUUAUUUGAAUUAACUCACCGAGUCCUCUCAGUAACUUGAGAUAGGUCGGUGACCUCAUGAGUUCCAGAUUUUAAAAACUGAGGCAGAGGAAGAUGAAGUAACUAGCCCGAGGGUGUAUCACAGAAAUGGAGGAGCUGGAUUUUGAAUGUAGGUGGUUGAGCUGCAGAAUCUACAUUCUUAAAAACUGAACUGUUACCUUACAUAACUGGUGCCCUAUGAAUGCUGUGGGGAAAAUGGAAGUGCCCGUGGCCAGGAUCCUCACCUGACCCUAAACUGCUUGAUGAUGCAACUGGCCUGCUGCUAGGCUACUGCUCGCACACCCGUGGGCAAUGAGCUGUUAUUGACUAUGAGUCACUAUAUAAAGAGCUCCGCCCAGUGCUCAGGGCAGAGGCAGAGACGGAGGCACAUCAUGGACCUGCGACUGCUGGAUGCGGACGUGAAUCUGCCGCUCCACCUACCACCGGAGAUUAAAGCCCAGGAAAAACCCUUUUACCCCAAGGACGUUCCACUGUCAUUUCUUGGUCUCAUCAAAUCCAUAGUGAAUUUGCCCAGGGCUGAAACCCUCAGGUGAGACAGUACAUUUUGAAUAAGUAAAUAGAUGACUCUCUUCCACUUUGUGUCCCAUUUACUUUCUCUUCCAUUUGUCAGGAAAAUCUCGACAUUACCCCAAUCCAGUAUCUUCACUUCUCCUGCACCCAGACUUUUAAACACAGUGGAGAAAACUACACUUCUGGGCAGACUGAAUUCCCACCAAGCCACCUGAGCCUUUGAAAAUACCUGAUAAUUCUAAGUUUCCCUGGUCUUUGCCUGCCAUUUACUGUUGGUUCUUGCCUCAAAUCUCAAACACCUGUAUCUCCCUACUCAUUACUUCCAGGAAAAACACAAUUUCUAGCUGUGAACUCUGUUUCCUACUCAUUCCUAUAAAUUUGACUUGUACUGGCACCUACCCGAGCCGUUUCCUCCGCUGUCAAAAUAUUUAGUGUUUCUCUCUCUCUCUAAGGCUCGAUCCACUUUUAGCUGCUGCCCCGUGUCUUUCUUCCUUUGCACAGUGAAGCUCCUGGAAGUGUUAUUUAUGUUCUCUGCCUGCAUUUCCUCACCCCCUCUCCCCCUCAGCUCACACUGUCACCCCAGUCUGGCUUCUGUACUCAUCUCUUCAUUCAUUUCUGAAGGUUGGUUUUUUUUUUUUAUUAAUUUCAUCCUAUGCUUCCUUUAAAUGUAUUUGUUACUUUAACUUCUUGAUUUGGGGUGCUUAAUUAAUUUUUCCCUGUUUAUUAAGUAUUUAAGAUCAUGAUUUUCCCCUCUGCUUUAUUUAUACAUCUUAUAGAGUCUUACCUGUAGGAUUUUUUUCUAUAGUUAAAAAAUUUUGUUUUGGUUUCUGCAUUAAUCUAAGAGCGCUUAAGAGAAAAUUUUGAAGAUUUUGUGUGAUAGUGUGUCCCUUUCUUUCUGGUAUUGUAGUUAAGAUCUAUUCUAUUGCAUUGUGAUCAGAGGUUUUUAUAUUAGUUCUACUUUCAAGAAGUUUUAUAAUUUCUCUGUUUUAUAUUUAGUCAAUAUAGAUAGCUUUAAAUAAAGGUACACCUCUAUUUUCUGAUUAUAGAAUUCAAUAUAUAAAUUAACCAAAAUUGCAUUCUUAGAUACAUUUUAUCUCUUCUCUAUCCUUAUUUAAGAGAACAUGACCACAGCAUCCGUGGCCUGUGCCCUUCCCUGGGUGCGUGAGGAAGAGGCAGGACCCCAGACUUGCCCCUGCUCUCAACGUGGUGCCGGAGCAGGAGUUCGCUUCACAGCCCAGAGCAGGCAGAGGGCGGCGGAGGGAUUUCCCUCGCUCCUGGGUGGGGAAUGGAAAGAGGGCAGAGAGAGAGCCAGGCAGGCCAUGGCCGUGGGUAAAGGGGAUGUUGCAACCCUUGUUAAUCAGUGAUCUGCGGCCAGACCAUGCAGUGUAAUCUCAGUAGGCACCAGCAGCAUGGGCCAGUGCCAGCCCCUGUGCCUGGCACCGAGGGACUGUCCCACCCCCACCCCUGUUGAAGGAAGGAAGACUUAGUGAAUUUUAAUGGGGCUUGAAGAAGAAAGUCACUUCUGUCACAGAGCAAGUACUCUUCACACACACCCCCACUGAGAUCUCCAGCUGAGAUCUCUCUCUGGGUCCUAGAAUUUAUGUGGAUGAGAGUUUUCAGCCUAAAGCUGAGCACGGUCAAAACUAGGCCCAUCUUUUCUCAGCUCUGCAGCCUCCUCACCCCUCAACUAAAACGCACUCUGCCUCUUGUUGGAGGGGGCUAUCUGAUGCCGGAGGACGGAACCGGAGAAGCGGAUGGGAAGGGGUGAGCGUGACGGGGCCAAUGGCCGGAGGACGAGGCUCAGGGAACUUCCUCAGUGGCUCCUCUGGCCUCCAGCCAAGUGUUGGGGGGCAGGCAGAGGGACGGGGCCUGAGCUCCAUCAGGAAGGGCCUGGGGGGUCGAGCGCUCGCUCCGUCCUGCACAAGCUCUCUGCUUUCCACGGCACUGCUGAGAUCCACGGUGCCUGAACGUCUAUCAGGCGGAUCUUGAACCACAGCCUACCUGGACUUCUUCAGGUUGGUCCAGAAUCCCUUGGGUGAUGAACUCCUCCUUUUCCUGCUAAAACAGUGCAAUGCCCUGUAUAAAUCAGGUGCUGGUCUCCAUUAAUCCCAGGAUCGGGGUGGGGGUGGGCAAGGGCGGGUGGACAACUGAGGAACUUCGGACCCUCAGCGUGUGGAACUGCCCGACAGGAAGGCAGCAGCUACAGUCCGUAUCGGGUGUGUGGUGGAUGCCCCGGGGCUCCUGAGGUCGGGAUUUUCUCGUCCGCCAAGUCUAAGAGCUGUGGUCUUGAUGGUCCCGAACGGGUCCGUCUUCUCCCUCUCACUGGCCAGAGGACCUGCGAGGGUGUCAGGAAGCGUAAGAAGCCUUUGCCCUUCGCCUGAUUCCCACUGUGGCCCCCGAAAGCGUCCUGAGUGAGUGGCCCUCAGGUUUGCCCCCAGAGGAAGAGAGGUGUAGGCCUGUCAGACCAUUAAAAUAAAAUAACAGAUAUCUUUUCAUGAUUCACAGGAGGAGAAAACAUAACCUAGUGGCUCAACCCAUCUGCCACCCUCCCCUACACAUAACACGAACAAAUCCACAGGAGCAAGCAAAGUGUAGCAACAAUCCAGGAGCAAAUGGGCAGGCGGGGUCCAGCUGCUGGUCCAGACCCCUGGGUCCAGCUAGUUUCUCUCCUCCCUGCCUCCUAGCUUACCUGGCAGGCCUCUUGCAGGGUCUGAACGCUACUUUGGGGCAACCCGGCCUGUCUCUGGCUGGAGAUGCUUGAAGUUGUGCCUUAGAUGCUUACCCCUUUUGCUUAAGACUAUGGCUUUUAAAAAAUGAAGAACUGGAAAGAGUAAACGUUCCAGUGCUCAUCGUUAUCCGUGUCUCCAGCCCCACAUCAGCGGACAGGUAUAGGUAAGGAGAGAUGUGUCAGCGAGGAGCUAAGCCCAUCAGUGAGCUCUAAAGGGGGACAGUUCCGGGGGACGCAGGGAGUCAGCGGUAAUGAAGGGCCUCACCUAAGCUGCCAGGCUUGCUUGCAGUCCUGCUCAGCUGAUUGCAGGCAGACUUUCAGUUGCUAGUCACACCUGCUGGGUCAUGUUAAACACGGCCUCGCAGGAAGACAACACGCCAGCUGGCAGCAGGGCUCUGCCAGGAGAGGGCCCAUGGGUGCAGAGAGCACUGGCCAGGGGUCGGGGUCAGCAGGUCCCAGGCUGACUGUCAACAGCCAGCUUCAUGAGCACGUCUGUCUCUGGGACGCAGUUUCCUCGUCUGUGAGACCCCGACCUGGAGUCUGUGCAGAAGGGAGAGAAUGACCCGGAGUGGGGUGUGUGUCACACGACAAACGUGGCUGGUGGGCAUCCUCUCCCCUUCCCUCCACUCCAGAGCCCAGUGGGCUGAGCAGGAGGAGUGGCCGCAGACAGCCCUCCCGUGGUGCUCAGACGGGCCUCUGGGAAAGGGGCACGGAGGCUGCGGCCCUGCCCUGGCUGGUGACUCAAGGCUGCCUGCCCCACCCUGGGGGCCUGCCCGAGGCCCUGCUCCAGCCCAGGGGCCAUUGGGUGCUGAGCAGGGGCUUGGAGGCCAGCUUCUCCUCCGCGGCAGGGGGCAAGAGGGUCUCUACCCUGACCCUGGAGGGAAAGCCCUGCUUCUGCAGGAGACGGACUUUACCGGGGAGGCGCUGAAGGCUCGGUGGGUGGCCGAGACCUGCUUCCACGACCAGUUGACCAAGGAGGGAAUGUUCUUCCUCACGGCUGGGAGGGGGGUGCAGGCAGGGCAGGACUUCCCACCCUCACCCGCCACCUCAUUUGCUUCCCUCUCCAUUUACUCCGUCCCUCGGUUUUAUUGAGAACCCUUACCAACAAAUGCUUUUAGAGGCUAUUGUACAUGAUUGCCAGGUAAACAGGGGUGUUUAUUUCAGAGAGGUUUAUAAUACACUCCAUUAAUGGCCCUGGAUUGGGGAAAUGAAUUGGACCAAAUCAAUCAAGCUACGAGGAGGGUGUCCGGGGCACCUGCUCUUGGCAGGACUGAGCUGCCCAUGCUCUGCCCUGCGCAGGUGCGCAGCCUGCCCAGGUUCUUCUGGGGUCCUGGGGUAGUUCACGGGCAUUCACAUCGGGGAGCCGCUGUCUCCUUCACGUGAUCGUCACAUCAGCUCGAACACAUGUGGGACGGCCCUGAGUCAGAGCUGUGCUCGGCUUCGUGGGGGAUGAGAGACGCCAAUAUGGGCAACACAUCACUAGGACCAGAGAGGGUUUAUGAUUCGCUGAAGUAACACGAACUCACUGAGAGGGCCUGGGGGGCUCCUGCAAAGCCGGCUGUGCUUGGGAGGAGGCCUGGUGGAGGCACAGAGGGGGGGUUUAUUCCUGCUCGGGAACCCAGGAAGGCUUCAUGGAGGAAGGGGCAGCUAAGAUGAGUUAAGAAGGUGGAAGAUGUUGGAAAGGCAUUCCCACAGGGCAAAUAAUAGUGCUCAGUACACGGCCUUGGGAAGGCCUGGGUGAACAGCAAGACGCUUCCGUGGCCUAGAUGGUGUGUUCCCGGUGCGAGAGCAGAGGGCUCCAGGCUAGGAGGGCGGCGCUGGCGCUGGGCUCUGCGAGCCUCUGCAGGGGCAGCCAGCGCCCAUUGGUGACUCUGGUCAGCACUGCCACCUGCCAGCACUGGGGUGCGGGAGUAUGUGGGGCCCACUCCUGCCCUCGCCGGCUUCCCAGGCAGUCGUGGCCGCAGUUUCCACAGAAGGAGACGCCAAAUUUGGGGAGAUGAGAGGGUGUCACAACGUGUCCUGUUUAAAGUGAGCCUUGAACUAAGUCCUGGGUUGCCAGGCAGACAGUGAGGGGCAGGUGAAGGAGUUCCGGGGUGUGGGAGGCAUCUCAGGGGCAAGGGGCAGCUCUGCCCAGCGGGGAGCCCACAGGGGAGCUGGCCGGAACCCUCCGCGAGGCCCCGCUCCACUCCAGGCGGGCGAGGGAGGCGAGGGAGGCAGGGAAGGGCAGACCGAGGGUGAGGGGCCCGGGCCGGGGCUAACAGGGCGGCCGGGCCGGCUCAGUGCGGGCCUCCGAGCGGGAGCCGAGCGCGCCUCUCGCCGCGGAACCCCCAGGCACAGGGGCUGCUGCCCGCCGCCCGGCCGCAGCCUCCGCCCCUUGCCCCUCGCCUCCCAGAGGACGGGGCCGGCGCUCAGCCUCCAGGGCAACGGCAGGGGGUGGCGCGGGGGCGCGUCCUGGGGGCGGCCGGCCCGCGACUGUCCCGGCGGAGCCCGCGGGUGGCCCCCCGCCGUCCGGCCCCGGUGUGCGGUUUCCCUUGUCCGCCACCCUCUGGACGCAAGGGGGCAGCCGAGCGUCGAGCUGGGCGGGCCGCGAGGCGCUCUUCCCCGUCCCGGCUCCGCGGGCACCCAGCGCCCGGCGCCCGGCCUGCAGGCCUGCUCUCAGCCUGCGUAACGUGCACGGACCCCCCCAGCAGAAGCCGAGGCCCGGGAAGGCUGCCCCGCGUCUGUCCGCCCCGCGGCCUGGCUGGACACCGGCGCUUGAGAGCCUGGACGUCCCCUGGAGGGCAGAACCCCGGCGCGGGGGCGGCGGGCCGGGGCGCGGCCGGGGCAGAGUGAGCCCACCGCCCCCGCUGGGCAGCGGUAAGGCCCAGUGCCGGCGCCGGGGGUGCAGAAGGGAAUCGGAUUCAGCGCCUCCAAAUAGUUCCCCGUGAGGAGCGCGAAUGGCUGUUGCAACCGCGUGCGCCCUGCCAUCUGGUGUCACAUGCCUUUUGUCUGCAGUGUGUUAUUUAGGAUUUCCAUUAGAAAGAACUACGUGGCAAACAUCCAUUUUUGUCUGAAAAUGUCCUUUUUUUGGUCCCAGUUCUUGAAAGACUUUUGGCUGCUUACACAAUUCUAAGUUGAUGGGUACUUUAUUAUAGCCCAUUGACAUUUUUAUUUUCUUGUCUUCUGUCUCUAUUGCCUUGCAAAGUCGGUUCUCAGCAAACUUGUCUCUUUUUGAAGGUAAUCUGUGUUUUUUCUCUGGAUAUUUUCACCAUUUCUUGUCUUUGACAUUCUCUGGAUGUUUUCAACAUCUCAUUGUCUUUGGUGUUCUGCAGUUUUAUCAAUAAAAUGUCUACGAGUGGAUUGCUUUUUGCACAUCUUGCUUGGGAGUCACUGGACGCCUAAAUGUAGUCCUUCACAGGACUGUCCCGGGUUUGAGCUUUGGAUUUUUCCAUGUGCUCUA